rnacentral:rRNA from 1 species
GAUGAACGCUGGCGGCGUGCUUAACACAUGCAAGUCGAACGAUGAAGCCCAGCUUGCUGGGUGGAUUAGUGGCGAACGGGUGAGUAACACGUGAGUAACCUGCCCUUGACUCUGGGAUAAGCCUGGGAAACUGGGUCUAAUACUGGAUAUGACUUCUCAUCGCAUGGUGGGGGGUGGAAAGAUUUAUUGGUCUUGGAUGGACUCGCGGCCUAUCAGCUUGUUGGUGAGGUAAUGGCUCACCAAGGCGACGACGGGUAGCCGGCCUGAGAGGGUGACCGGCCACACUGGGACUGAGACACGGCCCAGACUCCUACGGGAGGCAGCAGUGGGGAAUAUUGCACAAUGGGCGCAAGCCUGAUGCAGCGACGCCGCGUGAGGGAUGACGGCCUUCGGGUUGUAAACCCCUUUCAGUAGGGAAGAAGCGAGAGUGACGGUACCUGCAGAAGAAGCGCCGGCUUACUACGUG